rnacentral:rRNA from 1 species
UGGGGAAUAUUGGACAAUGGGCGCAAGCCUGAUCCAGCCAUGCCGCGUGUGUGAAGAAGGCCUUUUGGUUGUAAAGCACUUUAAGCGAGGAGGAGGCUACUUGGAUUAAUACUCUAAGAUAGUGGACGUUACUCGCAGAAUAAGCACCGGCUAACUCUGCGCCAGCAGCCGCGGUAAUACAGAGGGUGCGAGCGUUAAUCGGAUUUACUGGGCGUAAAGCGUGCGUAGGCGGCUUCUUAAGUCGGAUGUGAAAUCCCUGAGCUUAACUUAGGAAUUGCAUUCGAUACUGGGAAGCUAGAGGAUGGGAGAGGAUGGUAGAAUUCCAGGUGUAGCGGUGAAAUGCGUAGAGAUCUGGAGGAAUACCGAUGGCGAAGGCAGCCAUCUGGCCUAAUACUGACGCUGAGGUACGAAAGCAUGGGGAGCAAACAGG